UACGUAGGCAGCGAGCGUUGUUCGGAAUUACUGGGCGUAAAGCGCACGUAGGCGGCUUUCUAAGUCAGGGGUGAAAUCCUGGAGCUCAACCCCAGAACUGCCUUUGAUACUGGAGAGCUUGAGUCCGGAAGAGGUGAGUGGAACUCCGAGUGUAGAGGUGAAAUUCGUAGAUAUUCGGAAGAACACCAGUGGCGAAGGCGGCUCACUGGUCCGGUACUGACGCUGAGGUGCGAAAGCGUGGGGAGCAAACAGG
rnacentral:rRNA from 1 species